AGAGGUGGUUGGGUCCUGAGAGCUCUGCCCUUAUGAAUGGAUUAGUGUCAUUAUUGCAGGAGUGGCUUCAUGAUGGAGAGAGUGGAUUUGUCAUGAAAGUGAGUUCGGCCAUUCCUUGCUGUCUCACGUGCCACCUCUUGCCAUGGGAUGCCCUCGCCAUGGGAUGACAGCAAGAAGGCCCGUGCUUGAGUGAGCCCCUCCAUCUUCGGCUCUCCGGCCUCCAGGACUGUUAGAAAUACAUCUCUGUUCUUUGUAAAUUACCCAGGUUGUAGUACUCUGUUAUAGCAACACAAAACAGACUAAGACACUACUAUGUGGAUGAAGAAACAGGCCCAAGAGGUGAGGAGUGUUGUCCAGGUCUUCUGGCCAGAGGAGCGGCAGAGAUGGGAUUUCAACCCUGGGACUGUGUGGCUUGUGACCACUCCUAGCUUCAGCCCUGCCCGGUGCUGAGGGGUUUGGGGCCAGAACGAUGGCCAGAUGUUUGGGCACACUGGGCCCUACCCACCUGGAAAGAGGCUGGCCUAGGGUUGAAUGAGAACCAGAAGUGACUCAGGCUAGGACCCCUCUGCAUCCUCCCUCAGGCCGUGGGUAAUUACCUGCCCAGGUUAAUAGCGCCCACUUCCCGCCACCUUUCAUCAAGGCUCCUGGAGCUGCCAGGCAGUAAUUAACCCUCACAGCACCCUUCUGAAGUCAGCACUGAAGGCAGACGUGUGAUGAAACGCGUUUAUUACAGGAAGCACCAGUUGGCCCAGAUGCUUCUCAUCUUUGGAGUUGAGCUGCAGGCUGGAGACCUGGAAGGCCCUCGCAGCGCCUGCUCCCAUCCUCUCACCUCACGAAAGCGCAGGAAUGUGGGUUUGGAGUCAAUGAAAAGUACUGGAAUCUGGCUCUGCUCUGUGACCCUGGGCAAGUCACUGCACCUCUCUGGGCUUCAGUUUCCUCCUUG
rnacentral:lncRNA from 1 species